UACGGGGGGCGCAAGCGUUGUUCGGAUUUACUGGGCGUAAAGGGCGCGUAGGCGGUCAGCACAGGUCAGUUGUGAAAUCUCCGGGCUUAACUCGGAAAGGUCAACUGAUACUGUGCGGCUAGAGUGCAGAAGGGGCAACUGGAAUUCUCGGUGUAGCGGUGAAAUGCGUAGAUAUCGAGAGGAACACCUGCGGCGAAGGCGGGUUGCUGGGCUGACACUGACGCUGAUGCGCGAAAGCCAGGGGAGCGAACGGG
rnacentral:rRNA from 1 species